UACGUAGGGUCCGAGCGUUGUCCGGAAUUACUGGGCGUAAAGAGCUCGUAGGUGGUUUGUCGCGUUGUUCGUGAAAACUCACAGCUCAACUGUGGGUGUGCGGGCGAUACGGGCAGACUGGAGUACUGCAGGGGAGACUGGAAUUCCUGGUGUAGCGGUGGAAUGCGCAGAUAUCAGGAGGAACACCGGUGGCGAAGGCGGGUCUCUGGGCAGUAACUGACGCUGAGGAGCGAAAGCGUGGGGAGCGAACAGG
rnacentral:rRNA from 1 species